UUGCGGGGAGCUUGUGUACCAGGCUGAGAGGAAGCAGAGAGCUUCGACCCAUAUACCUGAUUUGGAUAAUGCCAACGUAGGGACGUGCCAUU
rnacentral:ncRNA from 1 species